rnacentral:tRNA from 1 species
GUGAAAGUAGCUCAGUCGGUUAGAGCACCAGAUUGUGGAUCUGGGGGUCGCGGGUUCGAAUCCCGUCUUUCACC